CACUUGUUUACCAAACGGAAAAUACAGUAGACUAUCAUUGGAAAGAAUAUGAAAACUUGCAACAAACUAGUCAUAUCACGUUAAAAGACAUAUGUUUGUUCUUCCUAAUUGUGUUCUUUUUUAUUUAUUUAUUUUAUUUAUUUAGCUUUGCCAACUAGGGCAGGGUCACCACAACAGCAUAUGCCAAUUACUGUGGGCCCUUUUUUUACCUAACCCACCCUUGUCAACUUUCCCUGUGGGAGGAAACCGGAGUACCCGGGGAAAACCCACGGCUUUCGGCAGAGCGUUGACUUUUACUCUUUUCACAUGGGGACUGGGUUCGAGUCGCACUGAGAAGGUACUUAGUGAGACUCGAACGUGCAGCCUCAGAGGUGAAAGGCAAGUGCGCUAACCACUUGGCCAC